CAGUCGCCGCGGUAAUACGUAGGUCCCGAGCGUUGUCCGGAUUUAUUGGGCGUAAAGCGAGCGCAGGCGGUUAGAUAAGUCUGAAGUUAAAGGCCGUGGCUUAACCAUAGUACGCUUUGGAAACUGUUUAACUUGAGUGCAAGAGGGGAGAGUGGAAUUCCAUGUGUAGCGGUGAAAUGCGUAGAUAUAUGGAGGAACACCGGUGGCGAAAGCGGCUCUCUGGCUUGUAACUGACGCUGAGGCUCGAAAGCGUGGGGCGCAAACAGGAUUAGAUACCCGAGUAGUCCCUGUCUCUUAUACC
rnacentral:rRNA from 1 species